CUCCUGCAACUUAGCGCGGACAGGCAGCUGAGACCAGAGUGGGCGUGGGGCUCUGCAAACUCACACAGCUCACUGCUGGCAGCUGGAGCUUGAACCCAGGCCUCGGCCUCUUGCCAGUGAAAGGAAGGAAGCCUAGGUACAGAGAGCUUAAGUCACUUGGCCAAGUCAGAAGCUAGGAAGUCCUGGACCCUGAAUUCAGAGUCCAUGCUCUUAACCACUACUCCAUGUGGCCCCUCGUCUUUCAGUCUUGCAAAGAGGAUUUGGAGAAGAGAUAAAGGUCAAGUGUGGCUUCUUCUUCCCCCAGUUCCUCAUUAUGUCCUCUCUACUUCUACUUAAUAUCAAUCUCUGCUCACCUUUCCAGUGGACUCAAGAUGAUCCUCCUUCAUGUAUGUGAUCACACAAUUUUAAAAAUCAUAUUGAGAAAAGGCUGUUCCCUGCAGAGCCCUGACUGAUACACUGUGAGAACAGAGGAAGGAAAUCUUUGAGGAAUCCAGAAAGACUUCACAGAGGAAGUGGCACUUGAGUUGAGAAGUAGGAGGUCCUGAGAAGAUGGGAGAAAAGAUUAAGUUGGCUGGAACAUAAGGAUUUGCUUUCAGAGACCCAGACUGUGACAGGGUUCAUGGAACUGCUGGAUGAGUUCAUAUGUGGAGAUUUCCAGAGGCUACAUAAAAUGAGAUGAUGUCAUCACUCUGGUGGCUAACAGAAUACUGCAGCACACAGGAGCCUCGGUGCUAACAUGGUCAAUCUGCACAAUCUCCAAGGAGGUGAUUUGGACCCCUACCUGACUCCACAGCAGACUCUAUUCGACCACUUGCUCUGGAAUGCAGAGUUGGAGUUACCUGUCUCUGUUCCCCAUUGGACUGGGUACUCUUCAAAUGUAUUAACCACAAGUUUGGCUUUGAAGAGUAAAUGAAUGAACGAGGCACAGUGAGGCAGCUUGUUUCCACAAGGUCUGAAGUCUCAUCCAGAAGACUGGAAGGCUUGAGACUGGAACCAUCUGAAUGCUUGUUCACUCACAUGGCUUAUGGCUGAUGUCACUGCUGGCUGAGGGUCUUUCUAGGGCUGCAUCUGGAAGAGCUUCUUGUGGCUCUUUCUCCAUGCAGCCUGGGCUUUGUCUCAACAUGGUGUCUGGUUUCCAAGGGCCAGAGGCCAAAGGAUUCCAGGAGAUAAACAUUAGCUCUUCCAACAGAGAACUGAAGGUUUAUUUAUUCUCUGGGAUGAUUGUAAGAAAUGACUCAGCUUUCUCCAUCUCCACCCGGCCCCCUCAGUCAGGUGAACCCACCUGCUCCUUUCACCUGUGUUCAGCUCAGUUUGUCUGCUUCCACUUGAGUUCUAGCACCCAGGAAGCUCCCCUUGCUGCUGGCUUGUCAGUUUGGCUUCUUAUUCCCGCCCCAUCCCUGCACUCACCCAAAUCAGCUAUUCAGUCUCAAGAUGUGGUGUUGAUUGUCCAGUCUUUCUGAACCAAGCCAUCUGAAGCUUCUGACUCUGUUGCCCAAGAUUUCUGUGUUAGCACCUUGGUUGCUGCUGCCUAGAUGCUGCUUCUUGGUUUUCGUGGGUCUGGGUUCCAGUCUCAACUCUGUUAAUAACUUUCAGUGUAAUUUUAGACAAUUGUUUUAACUUCUUGGAGCCUCAGUUUCUUCAUCUAUAUAAUUGGGAUAAAAAUAACUUUAUUUUCUGGGGAUAUUGUGAAGAAACAAUAGACAUGAAAGCACUUUGUACAAAUUAGGUAGUAAAUAUAUGAAUGGUAUUAUUAUGAGUACAACCUGGUUACCAAGCUGGAGUUGGGAUUGGUAACAUUAUUACCUUAUCUUUAUCUUACCUAUCCUUACUGCAUCCCUUGGUCUUUUGCUUGGAUCCCUGAUCUUUAAGAUGUGAUGUCCUGAAUACCAAUAUGCACCUAGACUGUCUUCCUUGGGUCAGUGCCCUACUAUUGCAUCAGGCAAGAGUCAAUAACUCUCUCUCCUUCAACCUCAGGUGAGCCUCCUGGGCCUUCUCUGUUUGACUAUUUCCCCUAACUCGAUCUUCCAAUGACUACAGAGAUCUGCACAAUUCUAGUUCAACCAACACUCUCCUCCCUUCUGCCCUCGUAGCAGUCCUACAGAGGAAAACCAGGAGAGCAAAAUGUUGUGGAUUCCAGGUGAAAAAAACUGUAAAAAGGAAGAAGUGAACAACUCUGUCAAAUACUGAUAAUCCAGGAAGAUGAGGCCUGAGAUUUGAUCACUGGAUUUAGCAAAGUGCUGGGAGGAGAUAGAAAUGUGUUCUCAAGUCAUCUCAUCUUCACAAACCCACCAACAAAUAUUCAACCAACCAACAGCCACCCAUUGGUUCUACUCAUCAAGCUUCUCUCUCCCCCUUUUUCAUCUGAACAAUCACCUCUAAAACCUGCUGCUCAUCCAGUAUUUACUCUUCAGUGAAUGAUACCAUCUAGAUGCCGAACCAGAAAUCGAGGAUGCAAUCUCCAUAUCGCCUUCCCCAUCUAUGCCACUCCCUUAAUAUUUUGCCCACCUCUUUCUUUCUUCUCACUCCCAGUUUUUCCAUUCAGGUAUUCAUCAUUUUUUAACUGAAUUACUGAAAUACUCUCCAUGUUGCUGCUUGCCUCCAUUCUUUAAAGUUGUCUUAUGAGAUUAAUAGUUCACUCCAGGUAAAAAAAAAAGAGAAAGAAGAAAAGAAAGGGAACUGCUUAGGUGGAGGAGACACAGAUAUCUGUGGCCAAAGCAAAAGACGUCCAGAGCAGUAAGAUGGCCAAAGGAAGAAAUUAAGAAAACGACGAGAAAUUGAAAUUACACAGAAGACAGGAGCUAAAAUGUGAGGGUCACAGUGACUGCUCUAAGAUACAUGUUGACUAGUGUGCUCUAAACAUUCCCCAUCUCCCAGAAUAUUAUGGUAUAAUUGAGCAUGGCUAGAUGAAAUAUAGUCUGUGUAAGCAUAUCCUAUGCAAUGAGAGUUGUUGAAGUAAUGAGAGGAGCUGAGUUUACAGAAGUGUAACCAGAAUUGCCAGCCAUGGCGACAAAAUAACGCUUUAUUAUUAUUACUAUUAUUAUUCAUUAUUAACAUUA